AGCAGUCGCCGCGGUAAUACAGAGGGUGCGAUCGUUAAUCGGAUUUACUGGGCGUAAAGCGUGCGUAGGCGGCUUCUUAAGUCGGAUGUGAAAUCCCUGAGCUUAACUUAGGAAUUGCAUUCGAUACUGGGAAGCUAGAGUAUGGGAGAGGAUGGUAGAAUUCCAGGUGUAGCGGUGAAAUGCGUAGAGAUCUGGAGGAAUACCGAUGGCGAAGGCAGCCAUCUGGCCUAAUACUGACGCUGAGGUACGAAAGCAUGGGGAGCAAACAGGAUUAGAUACCCCUGUAGUCCCUGUCUCUUAUAA
rnacentral:rRNA from 1 species